AGAAGGAAAAAAGAAAAAAGAAUUUCCCUGAGCUUCUGAGAAGGAAAACUUUGGACAUCAGUUGGAAAUUGCCAUUUAUCUGGUGUGGAUGGUAUGUGUGACCCAAAUGUGCCAUGUGACGGUUUUAGGAGGUCUGUGUCCUCACCAUUAUCUUUUCUGAAUGGAAUUCUCCUAGAUCCUCAGGCACGUUACAGCUUUAUUGACUGACAUUCUGUUACCCACAUGUGCUUGGGUUUUAUCUGUUCUUCCUAUGGGCUCCCCAAAUCCAGAGGAGACUGGAAAAAUCUUUAUGAGAUGGAAACAUACUGUUCUGUAGUCUUCCUGUGACUCUAAUUUGUUUUCCCGAAGGCUCAUCAAGUGAGAUGUAAAGGACAGCCAACAUAAAUAUCAUUUAUUGAAUGAGGCAGCAAAGGUAAAAUCUGUUGAAACAGCAUGUUCCUCGGUGUCCAUCAAGCCUGUGCAUGGCAGAGUGAGAAGAUGAGGCUGCUAAGGUUCUGGAAAGCCCAGCUGUGAGAUACAGUAAGUUCAAGAUGUCAGAGGCCAGGCCGCCUCCCCUUCUCGGGCAGCACACGACGCACAUCCUGAAGGAGGUCCUCCGAUACGAUGACAGGGCCAUCAGGGAGCUGCUCAACACUGGAGUGGUGACCCAACAUGAGGUUGAGUGACAAAGGAAAAAUGCUUUGCUGCAAAAUCACAUCUGAAUGCAUUUUGCCAGUGAAGAUAAAACAGCCUUUCUGGACCCUUCUCCCCAAAUCUGGUGCCUGCCACUGAAGAGUUAGAGGAAUUCCAGAUUUCCUGCCUGGCGUCUCCAGAAUGGCUCUGGUAUCAGUGAAUCUAGUGCUUUCUAAAUGUACCCCACCUUUCAUUCCUCACUGUUUUCCCCCAGAUAAUAGAUUAAUUGCAGAUUUUUCUUUUUUUUUUUUUUGGUGAAGAUUUUUUUUUCUGGAAAAAUGCAUUCCUCAUUCUAAUUACGUUAAUAGCCUAAACGUUUGCCCCUCCAGCCCACGCAGGUCUGAAAAAGAGCAGAUCUCUUGAUGUUCUUUACUUGCACAUAAAGUCCUCAUUUAAACCUUUGUUAGGAAGUCAAAGCAAUAAGCAGAAUGACAGUCUCGGUGAUUGAUUUUAAACAGAAUAACUUAAUUUGAGCUCAUGAACCCUUUGUUAAUCUGUAAUUUAAACCGUGGAAUUUGUUAAUGUCCCUUAUAAAACUGAACUUCAUUCUCCCCUGUGGGGGUAAA